rnacentral:rRNA from 1 species
CCUACGGGAGGCAGCAGUGGGGAAUAUUGGACAAUGGGCGAAAGCCUGAUCCAGCAAUGCCGCGUGAGUGAUGAAGGCCUUAGGGUUGUAAAGCUCUUUUACCAGGGAUGAUAAUGACAGUACCUGGAGAAUAAGCUCCGGCUAACUCCGUGCCAGCAGCCGCGGUAAUACGGAGGGAGCUAGCGUUGUUCGGAAUUACUGGGCGUAAAGCGUGCGUAGGCGGUGACUCAAGUCAGAGGUGAAAGCCUGGAGCUCAACUCCAGAACUGCCUUUGAAACUAGGUCGCUAGAAUCAUGGAGAGGUGAGUGGAAUUCCGAGUGUAGAGGUGAAAUUCGUAGAUAUUCGGAAGAACACCAGUGGCGAAGGCGGCUCACUGGACAUGUAUUGACGCUGAGGCACGAAAGCGUGGGGAGCAAACAGGAUUAGAUACCCUGGUAGUCCACGCCGUAAACGAUGAUAACUAGCUGCCAGGGCUCANGNGUCGUUGUGGCGCNGCUACGACAUUAAGUUAUCCGCCGUCGGGAGGUACGGUCGCGAGAAGUUAAACGUAACGAAAGUAAGUUAGACGGCGUGAGACGUAGACCGACGGACGACCGACGAGGGAGGAGG